rnacentral:lncRNA from 1 species
GGGAUUGCAGUGGCAAAGCUAGGCUAGGUCUUGGAGGCUGGUGUAAGGCGAUGUGGGUGAAGGCAGGAGGCUGAUGGAAAGACUGGGGGGAAGAAAAGCCGAAAUGGAUUCACGGUGCCUUGGAUGAAGGACGAGAGGGGAACUGCAAGCUCCUUCAACUGGUUCUGUCCGGUGAGAAGUGAUCAAGCUUGGGCUGACAAGAGGCUCAGGGAGCCCUCACGUUCUUUCGCUUUUUUACCUGCCAAUCAAACUGCUACAAGACAACACCCUGAUCUGGCAUGGACAUCGCGGGUCCAAGCCUGUAGCCCCAAAUCGGAUAAUCUCUGCAGCUGAUAACAAGCAAAAGAGAAGCCAGGCAACAGCCAUAUUAAAGAAGAAAACAAUCAACUCUGAGACACAGCCCAGGCAGACAGAAGGAAACGGAGCAUUAAUCCAACUGCAGUCACCCCAAAGUACAGGCCAUUUGGAUCCAGAAGAGAAACUGGUUCCUUCUACAAGCUCUCCCGUUCUCCCUGGGGCCCUUCACAGCCUCCUUGUCUACGUUGUGGCUGUGCUUUCCCUGAUCCAACUUAGAAAUAAUGUUUCAUUCAAGAUAAGGCUCGUGGCUUAGGAGAUUGUGACCUGGCUUGCAUCAUUCUAAGACUUCUAUCGUCUGUUUUCAAAA